AUUGAACGCUGGCGGCAGGCCUAACACAUUCAAGUCGAGCGAGCGGCGGACGGGUGAGUAAUGUCUGUGAAACUGCCUGUUGGAGGGGGAUAACUACUGGAAACGGUAGCUAAUACCGCAUACCAUCAGAUGUGCCCAGAUGGGAUUAGCUAGUGGGUGGGGUAACGGCUCACCUAGGCGACGAUCCCUAGCUGGUCUGUGAGGAUGACCAGCCACACUGGAACUGAGACACGGUCCAGACUCCUACGUGAGGCAGCAGUGGGGAAUAUUGCAAAAUGGGCGCAAGCCUGAUGCAGCCAUGCCGCGGGAGUGAAGAAGGCCUUCGGGUUGUAAAGCACUUUCAGCGGGGAGGCGUUACCCGCAGAAGAAGCACCGGCUAACUCCGUGCCAGCCGCCGCGGUAAUAC
rnacentral:rRNA from 1 species